GACGAACGCUGGCGGCGUGCCUAAUACAUGCAAGUCGAACGCAGUGGGGACGGGUGAUUAACACGUGGCUAACCUCCCAUCAGAGGGGAUAACACUUGGAAACAGGUGCUAAACCGCUACUGAUGGAUGGACCCGCGGUGCAUUAGCCAGGUGGUGGGGUCACGGCUCACCAAGGCCACGAGGCAUAGCCGACCUGAGAGGGUGAACGGCCACAAUGGGACUGGGACACGGGCCAGACUCCUACGGGAGGCAGCAGUAGGGAAUCUUUGGCAAUGGACGACAGGCUGACCGAGCAACGCCGCGUGAGUGAAGAAGGUUUUCGGAUCGUAAAGCUAGGUUGUUAGAGAAGCGGUACCUAACCAGAAAGCGACGGCUAACUACGUGCCAGCAGCCGCGGUAAUAC
rnacentral:rRNA from 1 species